rnacentral:rRNA from 1 species
AUUACAAGAUUGUGAUAAGAUGACAUUUCUGAGUAUUGAGCGGAACAAAUCAGACCGUAAGGUUAUAAUUAUGUA